rnacentral:rRNA from 1 species
GAUGAACGCUGGCGGCGUGCCUAACACAUGCAAGUCGAGCGAACGGAUGAGAAGCAUGCUUCUCUGAUGUUAGCGGCGGACGGGUGCGUAACUCGUGGUUAACCUACCUAUAAGACUGGGAUAAUUUCGGGAAACCGGAGCUACUACCGGAUAAUAUUUCGAAUUGCAUGGUUCAAACGUGAAAGACGCUCUUGCUGUCACUUAUAGAUGGACCCGCGCUGCAUGAGUUAGUUGGUAAGGUAACGGCUUACCAAGGCAACGAUGCAUAGCCGACCUGAGAGGGUGAUCGGCCACACGGUAUCAGAGACACGUUCCACACUCCGACGGGGGGAAACAGUAGGGAAUCUUCCGCGAGGGACGAGUGCCGGACGUUGCAACACCGCGUAAGGGAUGAAGGUCUUCGGAUCGUAGAACUCUGUUAUUAGGGAAGAUCAUAUGUGUAAGUAACUGUGCACAUCUUGACAGUACCUGGUGAGAAAGCCACGGCUAACUACGUG